rnacentral:rRNA from 1 species
AUUGAACGCUGGCGGCAUGCCUUACACAUGCAAGUCGAACGGCAGCACGGGAGCUUGCUCCUGGUGGCGAGUGGCGAACGGGUGAGUAAAGCAUCGGAACGUGCCCUGAAGUGGGGGAUAACGUAGCGAAAGUUACGCUAAUACCGCAUAUUCUGUGAGCAGGAAAGCAGGGGACCGCAAGGCCUUGUGCUUUAGGAGCGGCCGAUGUCGGAUUAGCUAGUUGGUGAGGUAAAGGCUCACCAAGGCGACGAUCCGUAGCGGGUCUGAGAGGAUGAUCCGCCACACUGGGACUGAGACACGGCCCAGACUCCUACGGGAGGCAGCAGUGGGGAAUUUUGGACAAUGGGCGCAAGCCUGAUCCAGCCAUGCCGCGUGAGUGAAGAAGGCCUUCGGGUUGUAAAGCUCUUUCGGCGGGGAAGAAAUGGCGCUUUUUAAUACAGAGCGUUGAUGACGGUACCCGCAUAAGAAGCACCGGCUAACUACGUGCCAGCAGCCGCGGUAACAC